rnacentral:rRNA from 1 species
UACGUAGGGUGCAAGCGUUAAUCGGAAUUACUGGGCGUAAAGCGUGCGCAGGCGGUUAUGUAAGACAGAUGUGAAAUGCCCGGGCUUAACCUGGGAACUGCAUCUGUGACUGCAUUGCUGGAGUGCGGCAGAGGGGGAUGGAAUUCCGCGUGUAGCAGUGAAAUGCGUAGAUAUGCGGAGGAACACCGGUGGCGAAGGCGACAUCCUGGACCGGUAUUGACGCUGGAGGCGCGGAAAGCCAGGGGAGCAAACGGG